CAAUAGCGUAUAUUAAAGUUGUUGCGGUAAAAAAGCUCGUAGUUGGAUUUCUGUUGAGAGCGACCGGUCCAUACCAUGUAUGCGUAUCUGGCUUGCUCUCGGCAUCCUCUCGAUAGACGUUACCGCGCUUGAUUGCGUGGUGCGGAUCUCGGGACUUUUACUUUGAGGAAAUUAGAGUGUUCACGGCAGGCUUUCGCCAGAAUACAUUAGCAUGGAAUAAUACUAUAGGAUCUUGGUUCUAUUUUGUUGGUUUCUAGAAUUGAGAUAAUGAUUAAUAGGGACAAUUGGGGGCAUUCGUAUCAACACGUCAGAGGUGGAAUUCUUGGAUUGUGUUGCGACGAACUACUGCGAAAGCAUUUGCCAAGGAUGUUUUCAUUGA
rnacentral:rRNA from 1 species